rnacentral:rRNA from 1 species
AGCCGUCGCGGUAAUACGUAGAANACUAGUGUUAUUCAUCUUUAAUAGGUUUAAAGGGUACCUAGACAGUAAAUCAAGCCUUCACCAGGGACUAAUUUACUAGAGUUUAAUAUGAGGGGGCAUUAAAGUACUGAUGGUGUAGAGAUGAAAUUCUGUCAUACCCCUUUUCGAAGGAAAACUGAUGGCACUGGUAUAGGCGAAAGCAUCCCCUUAUGUGAUAACUGACGUUGAAGGACGAAGGCUUUGUGUAGCGAACAGGAUUAGAUACCCCAGUAGUCAAAGCAGAAAAUGAUGAAUGUCAUAGAUUAGAUUUAUAUUUAUUCUAUAAAUGAAAGUGUAAGCAUUCCACCUCAAGAGUAAUUUGGCAACAUUGGAACUGAAAUCAUUAGACCGUUUCUGAAACCAGUAGUGAAGUAUGUUGUUUAAUUUGAUACUCCGCAAAAAACCUUACCACAAUUUGAAUAUUUAUGUUAGAAAAUAAUAUAUUUACAAGCGUUGCACGGCUGUUUUUAGUUAAUGUCGCGAGAUUUUGGUUAGGUCCAUUAAAUUAACGCAAACCCUUACUUUAUUUUUAUAUAAAGUAGUUCUCCGCUAGAUUGGAUAAGAUAACAGGGAUUAAGACAAGUCAUCAUGGCCUGAAUAUUGUGGGCUAUAGAC